GGGGCUAUGAUGUAGGGGUAACAUCGAGACUUCGCAUUUUCGAACAUGUCUCGUCCCCGCGUUCGAGUCGCGGUAGCUCCA